CAGUCGCCACGGUAAUACGAAGGGUGCAAGCGUUACUCGGAAUUACUGGGCGUAAAGCGUGCGUAGGUGGUGGUUUAAGUCCGCUGUGAAAGCCCUAGGCUCAACCUGGGAAUUGCAGUGGAUACUGGGUCACUAGAGUGUGGUAGAGGAUAGUGGAAUUUCCGGUGUAGCAGUGAAAUGCGUAGAGAUCGGAAGGAACAUCUGUGGCGAAGGCGACUAUCUGGGCCAACACUGACACUGAGGCACGAAAGCGUGGGGAGCAAACAGGAUUAGAUACCCGCGUAGUCCCUGUCUCUUAUAC
rnacentral:rRNA from 1 species